CCUGGGGGAGAAAUGGAGGACCUGACCCCUCAUAAGCAAUGACAGUUUAACCAUUCUCAUCAAGCAGGAUUGCUCCCUUCCUACUAGAAAUGGCCCCACCCUUUACAGAAUCAUUCUCUCCCUUCUCUGGGAUCCUACGGAUGUCCCUUUGAGUUGGGGCUCAGAACAGUUGUUGGGGGGGCAGGGCUGAAAUGAAGCAGGACACUGUCCUCUCACUUUAACACUGACUUCUGUAGGCUGGCCACAUUUCUGCAUUGAAAUCCCUGGGAAUUUAUAUGGUUCAGGUGGGAGUUGCAUUAAUUCCCUGACUGUGGCUGCUGAUGAACAGCUGCAGGAGGGUUUAGCCAAUGGCAAUAGGAGGGAGCAAUGAUGAAGUGUAAAGACAGCAGUUGUCACUUUUUUCCACAGAUCCCCUGUGCAUCCCCUGGAUAUGUAUGUUUGGGAGGCCUUACAUCUACAAACUCCGCAGGACUCCAAACACCAUUGCCUUCAUGUAAUGCAUAGCAGGAAUUGCCAAGAGGGGAAACCAUGAUUUAGGUAGAUUUUUCCACAGGAGUGGAUGGUCUAUACACUACUUUCACUGAAGUAGCUAUAACAAGCUCUGAACAGAUGAACUAAGAUAGUGGAGGGUAAAACAGUGAAGGGAUACUGCUCAAAUAGUAAAUAAAUAACAAAACAUACAAGGAAAUGCCUUUCAAAUUAGCAGCUAAAGUUUAUUCACCUUGUUAUGGGGAUCUCAGAAGUUGGAGUCCAGCUAGACCAUCAAGUUCAUCCACUGCAAAGGCAGGACACAGGCUGAUAGGAAACUGCAAAAGAAAAACAAAAAUUAAAGAAAAACACUGACGCUAAACACAAUAUCCCAAGAGUAUACUGGCCCCUGAGAAGUAAGAGAUGAUAGGAAAUAGGUUGCCUCUUUGGGUGUGUAAGGCAGGUGAUCCUCUUUUUCUUGUGGACUUGCUAUAAUUUCUGGGGAUGACUAAUACAUUUGUGUGUGUGAAAAAGCAGCAGUUGUCUAGCUAUGAAGAUGACAAUCAAACUAACAGAAACAAUUGACCAUAGUCUUCAAAAGUGAUUAAUAAGUACUAUGCACACUCUGAAAAACAGGGCUUCUUUAAAUUGUUUUACGUUAGAUACAUAAAAUCGGUGGUCAUCUUGAAAAUCUUUGCCAUACUUCUUUCUAUCUAGGUCCUUACAGGGCCCUAAGAACCAUGGUACCUGGGCACCUGUAAUUCUCUACUAAUAUUGUUAGUAUCCUUUCCUGAGCUUGCUGAUGUUAAAUAAAAAGGAAUGUUUAUUAUAGUAUGUUGAAAAGGAUUCCGUUAAAAAAAAAAAAGAUUAAGAUCUGCAGGCCCAUGUGGUUCUGGACAUCUCUGCCCACCCUUUUUAGGUUUUAAAAACUCUGAUUUUCAUUUUUAACAGAAAAUGAGAGACUUGGUCAUUUACUCUUCGGAAGCUGACCUUUAAAUAAAGCAUUCUGCUCUCAUGCCUCCACAGGGGAUCACAGAGAUAUAGGAAUAUUUGUGUGCAUAUUGGAAAAAACUGGAGGAAAAUGCUGAAAUGAUGCUUGGAUUUGAAUUGUACUGUUCACAAGCAAAACGUGUCAGGCAUUAAGUGUAUAUAGCAUGCUGACCAAUCCUGCACUGAACCACUUCCUAAUGCUACUCUAUCAAACCUGACCCAGAGGACUGCCUAUCCUAGCAUUACUACCACUGUUACCACUACUGGAGCUGCACUGAUGGCCGG